UAUGGUGAAGAGAUGUAUUUCAGUACUAUUCACAAUCACUAAAAUAUGGAAUCAACCUAAGUGCUCAUCAAUGGAUAAAUGGAUAAAGAAAAUGGGGCAUAUAUACACAAUGGAGUAGUAUUGAAUCAUAAAAAAGAAUUAGAUUCUGUCAUUUGCAGCAACAUAGAUGGAACUGGAAACCAUUAUGUUCAGUGAACUAAGCCAAGCACAGAAUGAGAAAUAUUGCAUUAUUCUCACUCAAAUGCAGGAACUAAAAAA